AUGAGACUGCUGGGUCUCCUCCUGUGUCUGGUGACAGCCCCGCUGGGUGUCCUGUCACAGGUGCAGCUGCAGGAAUCGGGCCCAGGACUCGUGAAGCCCUCGCAGACCCUCUCCCUCACCUGCACUGUCUCUGGAUUCUCUUUAUCGAGCUAUGGUGUGCACUGGGCCUGCCAGCCUCCAGGGAAGGGACUGGAGUGGGUCGGUGUUAUAUGGGGUGGUGGAAGCACAUACUACAACCCAGGGCUGAAAUCUCGCCUCAGCAUCACCAAGGACAACUCCAAAAACCAAGUCUAUUUGACACUAAACAGCCUGAGAACAGAUGGCACGGCCAUGUAUUACUGUGCAAGAGACACAGUGAGGGGAAGUCAGUGUGAGCCUAGACGGAAACCUCAUGCAGGGGACACAAGUUCUAGGUUGCAGGAAUUGCUUAGGACACAAGGGGGCACACAGGUAUCACAGAGAGGAGGCUCAACCCAAGGGGCAGGUGUGGGCCUCUAA